AUUGAACGCUGGCGGCAGGCCUAACACAUGCAAGUCGAGCGGAUGAGAAGAGCUUGCUCUUCGAUUCAGCGGCGGACGGGUGAGUAAUGCCUAGGAAUCUGCCUGGUAGUGGGGGACAACGUUUCGAAAGGAACGCUAAUACCGCAUACGUCCUACGGGAGAAAGCAGGGGACCUUCGGGCCUUGCGCUAUCAGAUGAGCCUAGGUCGGAUUAGGUUGUUGGUGAGGUAAUGGCUCACCAAGGCGACGAUCCAUAACUGGUCUGAGAGGAUGAUCAUGCACACUGGAACUGAGACACGGUCCAGACGCCUACGGGAGGCAGCAGUGGGGAAUAUUGGACAAGGGGCGAAAGCCUGAUCCAGCCAUGCCGCGUGUGUGAAGAAGGUCUUCGGAUUGUAAAGCACUUUAAGUUGGGAGGAAGGGCAGCCAGCGAAUACCUGGUUGUUUUGACGUUACCGACAGAAUAAGCACCGGCUAACUCUGUGCCAGCAGCCGCGGUAACAC
rnacentral:rRNA from 1 species